rnacentral:rRNA from 1 species
CCAAGGAUGGCAGCAGGCGCGCAAAUUACCCAAUCCCGACACGGGGAGGUAGUGACAAUAAAUAACAAUACGGGGUUCUUUCGGAUCUCGUAAUUGGAAUGAGUACAAUUUAAAUCUCUUAACGAGGAACAAUUGGAGGGCAAGUCUGGUGCCAGCAGCCGCGGUAAUUCCAGCUCAUCAGCUCAUAGCGUAUAUUAAAGUUGUUGCAGUUAAAAAGCUCGUAGUUGAAUUUCGGGGUUAGUAGGCUGGUCAUGCCACCGGUAUGUACUGGUCUUACUGAUU